rnacentral:rRNA from 1 species
UACGUAGGGUGCAAGCGUUGUCCGGAAUUAUUGGGCGUAAAGAGCUCGUAGGCGGUCUGUCGCGUCGGCUGUGAAAACCCGGGGCUCAACUCCGGGCCUGCAGUCGAUACGGGCAGACUAGAGUUCGGUAGGGGAGACUGGAAUUCCUGGUGUAGCGGUGAAAUGCGCAGAUAUCAGGAGGAACACCGGUGGCGAAGGCGGGUCUCUGGGCCGAAACUGACGCUGAGGAGCGAAAGCAUGGGGAGCGAACAGG